GAUGAACGCUAGCGGCAGGCUUAAUACAUGCAAGUCGUGGGGCAGCAUGAGUAGCAAUACUUGAUGGCGACCGGCAAACGGGUGAGGAACACGUACACAACCUUCCUUCAAGCGGGGAAUAGCCCAGAGAAAUUUGGAUUAAUACCCCCAUAAUAUAUUUGAUAAGGCAUCUUAUUAAUAUUAAAGCUUCGGCACUUGAUGAUGGGUGUGCGGCUGAUUAGAUAGUUGGCGGGGUAACGGCCCACCAAGUCUACGAUCAGUAGCUGAUGUGAGAGCAUGAUCAGCCACACGGGCACCGAGACACGGGCCCGACUCCCUACGGGAGGCAGCAGUAAGGAAUAUUGGACAAUGACGAAAGUACUGAUCCAGCCAUGCCGCGUGAAGGAUUAAGGU
rnacentral:rRNA from 1 species